UACGUAGGGUGCGAGCGUUAAUCGGAAUUACUGGGCGUAAAGCGUGCGCAGGCGGUUUUGUAAGCCAGAUGUGAAAUCCCCGGGCUUAACCUGGGAAUGGCAUUUGGGACUGCAAGGCUGGAGUGCGGCAGAGGAGACUGGAAUUCCUGGUGUAGCAGUGAAAUGCGUAGAUAUCUGGAGGAACACCGGUGGCGAAGGCGGCGUUCUGGACUGCAACUGACACUGAGGAACGAAAGCCAGGGGAGCAAACGGG
rnacentral:rRNA from 1 species